rnacentral:lncRNA from 1 species
CAGCCCUUGAGUCACUACCCCAUCCACCAUGCCAUCCGCAGGAUGGAUUUAACAAAAGACUGAACUGCAUUUAUACUCAACCGACUCUGUGAAAGAUCUUUUUCAAAGUUUUGUGUAAACAAAGCAAAAUUCAAGCUGGCAGCUACAACAGAAGUCACAGGCAAUUGCACCUCUGCAGCAUUUUUUCUACGUUUGAAGGGAAAAAAAAACAGCUCAUGCUAAAGUAAUUAAGGCAACCUGGAAUCUAAGCAUCUGAUAAUGUCAGUUAUCUUCUAGUUAAGCCAGCAGAGGG